GCGAAAGUGGCGGAAUUGGUAGACGCACCAGAUUUAGGUUCUGGCGCCGCGAGGCGUGAGAGUUCGAGUCUCUCCUUUCGCA
rnacentral:tRNA from 1 species